rnacentral:rRNA from 1 species
UACGUAGGGUGCGAGCGUUAAUCGGAAUUACUGGGCGUAAAGUGUGCGCAGGUGGCUUCGCAAGUCGAGUGUGAAAGCCCCGGGCUUAACCUGGGAAUUGCGCUCGAAACUACGGAGCUCGAGUGUGGCAGAGGAAGGUGGAAUUCCACGUGUAGCGGUGAAAUGCGUAGAUAUCUGGAGGAACACCGGUGGCGAAGGCGGCAUCCUGGACCGGCAUUGACGCUGAGGAGCGAAAGCCAGGGGAGCAAACGGG